AUUGAACGCUGGCGGCAUGCCUUACACAUGCAAGUCGAACGGUAACAGGUCUUCGGAUGCUGACGAGUGGCGAACGGGUGAGUAAUACAUCGGAACGUGCCUAGUAGUGGGGGAUAACUACUCGAAAGAGUGGCUAAUACCGCAUGAGAUCUACGGAUGAGAGCAGGGGAUCGCAAGACCUUGUGCUACUAGAGCGGCCGAUGGCAGAUAGGUAGUUGGUGGGAUAAAAGCUUACCAAGCCGACGAUCUGUAGCUGGUCUGAGAGGACGAUCAGCCACACUGGGACUGAGACACGGCCCAGACUCCUACGGGAGGCAGCAGUGGGGAAUUUUGGACAAUGGGCGCAAGCCUGAUCCAGCAAUGCCGCGUGCAGGAUGAAGGCCUUCGGGUUGUAAACUGCUUUUGUACGGAACGAAAAGCCCUGGGUUAAUACCCUGGGGUCAUGACGGUACCGUAAGAAUAAGCACCGGCUAACUACGUG
rnacentral:rRNA from 1 species